rnacentral:rRNA from 1 species
UGGGGAAUUUUGGACAAUGGGGGAAACCCUGAUCCAGCCAUCCCGCGUGUGCGAUGAAGGCCUUCGGGUUGUAAAGCACUUUUGGCAGGAAAGAAACGUCAUGGGUUAAUACCCCGUGAAACUGACGGUACCUGCAGAAUAAGCACCGGCUAACUACGUGCCAGCAGCCGCGGUAAUACGUAGGGUGCAAGCGUUAAUCGGAAUUACUGGGCGUAAAGCGUGCGCAGGCGGUUCGGAAAGAAAGAUGUGAAAUCCCAGAGCUCAACUUUGGAACUGCAUUUUUAACUACCGGGCUAGAGUGUGUCAGAGGGAGGUGGAAUUCCGCGUGUAGCAGUGAAAUGCGUAGAUAUGCGGAGGAGCACCGAUGGCGAAGGCAGCCUCCUGGGAUAACACUGACGCUCAUGCACGAGAGCGUGGGGAGCAAACAGG